UUGAACGCUGGCGGCAGGCCUAACACAUGCAAGUCGAGCGCGAAAGUUCUUCGGAAUGAGUAAAGCGGCGGACGGGUGAGUAACGCGUGGGAAUCUGCCUAGUAGUGGGGGACAACAGCCGGAAACGGCUGCUAAUACCGCAUACGCCCUACGGGGGAAAGGGGGGGAUCUUCGGACCUCUCGCUAUUAGAUGAGCCCGCGUCGGAUUAGCUAAUUGGUAGGGUAAAGGCCUACCAAGGCUACGAUCCGUAACUGGUCUGAGAGGAUGACCAGUCACACUGGAAAGGCGACACGGUCCAGACGCCUACGGGAAGCAGCAGUGGGAAAUAUUGGACAAUGGGAGCAACCCUGAUCCAUCCAUGCCGCGUGUGUGAAGAAGGCCUUAGGGUUGUAAAGCACUUUCAGUGGGGAGAAAGGUUUGUCACCUAAUACGUGAUGAAAUUGAUGUUACCCACAGAAGAAGCACCGGCUAACUCCGUGCCAGCCGCCGCCGCAG
rnacentral:rRNA from 1 species